rnacentral:lncRNA from 1 species
GCCUGAGAUGGUUCAGAUUUAAUUGUUGUGCCAUACUUACAGGCACUCUCCUGUUCCUUCUCCACUGUCCUGUCCCUAAGAAAUAACGCGGUUCUUAACAGUGAUUGAUUCAAGACACUUCCCUCCUUUGUGGCUGCUGGAUUUCAAGACAAAGCUUCCAGAAUGGUUGGCAAUGCUAUGGAAGAGGCUGGAGACAAGAGUCCCUGGCAGUAGCUGGAGAGGAGGUCAUAAGACACUCCUCAAUCUUCAGGAGUUCUGCCCCAUACCCAAGAGGAAAGAAGGCUGCACGGAGAGGCCAAGAAGGAUGAAGGCCUCGCUGGCUUCCCAGUCUGUGAGCAUGAUUGGACUCUCGGUCCAAUCAUAUUUUCGCAAGGCUCUUCAUGCUUCAAUCAUUCCUGUGCAAUUGCCCCCAUAAAACCCCAAAGAGACAGGGCACAGAGGCUCUUCUGGAUAAGCGAACACUUGGAAGCUCACAGGAGAGUGAAAGGGAACCUGCCCACAGUCUGAGAGGGUGGCACAUCC